AUGAACGCUAGCGGGAGGCCUAACACAUGCAAGCCGAGCGGUAUGGAUAGCUUGCUAUCCAGAGAGCGGCGUACGGGUGCGUAACACGUGUGCAACCUACCUUUAUCUGGGGGAUAGCCUUUCGAAAGGAAGAUUAAUACCCCAUAAUAUAAUGAUUGGCAUCAAUUAUUAUUGAAAACUCCGGUGGAUAGAGAUGGGCACGCGCAAGAUUAGAUAGUUGGUGAGGUAACGGCUCACCAAGUCAAUGAUCUUUAGGGGUCCUGAGAGGGAGAUCCCCCACACUGGUACUGAGACACGGACCAGACUCCUACGGGAGGCAGCAGUGAGGAAUAUUGGACAAUGGGUGAGAGCCUGAUCCAGCCAUCCCGCGUGAAGGAUGACGGUCCUAUGGAUUGUAAACUUCUUUUGUACAGGGAUAAACCUACCCUCGUGAGGGUAGCUGAAGGUACUGUACGAAUAAGCACCGGCUAACUCCGUG
rnacentral:rRNA from 1 species